rnacentral:lncRNA from 1 species
AAUGAUGUUACUCUUCUGCCUAAGUCCUGAAUUAAGAUGGAAUUAUGGCAUAUUGCCGGGCCCAGCACCCUGAUGAUGUGACUCUCCUGCCUGUUCCAGAGCCACAGAAGUGCUUCCUGCCCUCAAACAUCGGAUUCCAAGUUCUUCAGUUUUGGGACUCGGACUGGCUCUCCUUGCUCCUCAGCUUGCUGACAGCCUGUUGUUGGACCUUGUGAUCAU